UUUAAGGUGAGGAUUAUCUGACCUAACCUGUAACUUCAUUAACCUAACAAAGUUACCAUGCCAGGGUGAAUUUACAAUGUAUAUGGCCUGUCUUGUGUCUAUGACUUGUAAACAGGAACUGGAAUUGUAUUUACACAUCAAAGACCACUAGGGAUGAGAUAAUGGCUAAAAAGGAUAUAAAAAGGGAAAUGCUGAACAAAGGGGGCGUGAAUACUAACCAGAUGGGUUUCUGGAGUUCCUGCCCGCUCAUGAGAAGAAAUUUUAUUAUUUUAUCCGAAUCCUGUGUCUCUGUGUAUUUCUUUCCGAGAUUUCUGCAACAAUGCCAGUGGGAAACUACAAGAGGGUGAGCACUUGGAAUCUCUGCCUCCAUUUCACAUCUGUCUCAUUUCUCUGAGUCUUAGAGAACACCAACUUCCUCAUGGCUUUGGACAAACCCUUACCUGACCAGUGCUGAGACAAUGACAAACCAAACCAUUUACAUGGACCAGGUGUCCUGCACACUUCUGCCCCCAACAGUAUAAUCUGGGAGCUCACAAAAGCACCUCUGAGGACAGGGUUGAAGACACUGCUCCAUUUGUCUUCACCUAGAGGUUUCCUAUGUGGGUCUCCAGGCAUGAAGGAACAACAGAUAUAUGGAGAGACAGGAGUGGCUGGUGUGCCAGGGACUUGCAGUGGAUUGUUUGCUUCCAGGCUAGACCAGACACCCUCUGGUGGUAGAAACCAGGCCUGGAAACAGGGUGAGGCUCCUCCCCGCAUCUUCCAGCAUUAGCAUGGCUGGCUCCAUGAAGUCCUGUGAUAAAAAGUGAUCCUGCCACUUCCCCAGGUGCAGGAUGCUAGGAGAGACUGAACCAGAAGGAAGCCAAAAUGGGAACCAGACAAAAAUUGGAAAGGAACAAGUGCAGGGGCAUCAGGGAAAGAAAGGAGGGAGAAGCACAGGAUCCCCUGAUGGAAAAGAAGCCUUGAUCGGCUUCUUUGAUGAUGGUAAGGUAACAUAACCACAGGUUCCAGGAUUGGGGCAUGAACAUAUUUAGGAGGUCAGUACUCUGCCUGUCACAAGUUACCCUCAAGAAAAGUGGGAAAGGGAUAUCCCAAAGAAUUUGAAGAAUUCUAAUUCAAAAUCCUAUGGAUGUGACUCUACCCUACACUUCUGCCUGCCUAACAAAGGGAGAAUUGCCCUUCCACCCUCAUCCUGUUUGUCUUUAAGAACAGAAUGUUUUAGGUGCACUAGCCUAGAACAUGUGAAUUUAGGAUGGCUGCCAGAGUGGCCACCAGACAAACUCUAACUUUAUUAUAACCCCAUCUGCAUGUGAGAUGACACCACCCACAGUGCCACAACAAUUGACAGUCGCCUUGAAAAUAAUCCAAAAGGACCAUAAAAGAGGGAGGAAAAGGUGGUGCCCACAUUCCCAGACAAGCUCCCACCGAUUCCUGAGAAGCAUAAAACUAUUCCUGCCUGCUAUUAGUGUGAGACCAAAGUGAACCUAAGAAAUGAACUCCCCUCAUACCCCUCCCCUUAUAGAGUGCUGGAAUUCCCCAUGAGAUAGCCGCUUGCUCUGCUUCUGUAAACAUGCUUUAUCGCUCCCCGGGAACAGAUGGUGCCCGGUGCCUCCCUGUAACCACCAAACCCUGUAGCCACAGAAGGUCCUAUCUUGGUAAGAUAGGUGGGAUAAAAAAAACUGGGUCGUGAAAGAUAUUCACAGCUGGCUGAAGGACAUAGUGGCCUCUCCCCGAACUUCUUUGUUUGAGUUACCUAUAAUCCUGUACUGUUCCCUGCUAUGGGGCUUCACUUCUCCUAGAGAGUGGAGUCCACGCGCGUGAAUAAACUCCUUUCAGUUUUAACUCUGUCUUUGUCCCGGUGUUUGGUAUUUUCCUGGCUUGCUUGACAUAACAAUUUUGGAGGUCCCAGUGAGAUAACCAUCACUCGGUGACUUCUGUCUGGUGUUCGGCCCCUGUCUCAGGCCGCUGUGGCCCAAGAGAGGCCUGGGGAGACCACCUUGACAAUUUGAUCAGGGCCCUGGGGGCUCGGGUCUCAAGUGGAGGAUUCGGGUCACUCCAGCCAUACUGAGAGGAGUUUAUCUGAAACACCUCCGAAGGUCAGGUAAGAAUCUCAUGAUUCUCAGUCAGUGGAUCCUAUAGAGGGUGAAAGGAAAGUUGGACUCGCGCUAAUUCCCAUGCCCAGGACUUCACCGCAAUGGCAGGAAGUCCCCUGGUCAGUUUAUACUUUUGGUAAGAAAGGCUAUAGUCUGUCUAAAUAUCUGUAUAUCUGUUUUUUGUUGUCUGUCAGCUUGCUCUGUGUGCCUUUUGUUUUCAGUUUUGUUCUACAACGAGCCAUGGGAGCCAGACAGUCUACCCCCUCUACCCUCCUUAAAUGUGUUUUACAACAUUUCUCUCAAAUUUAUACCCCACAGAAAGCAGAUAAAUUCGGCAUCAAGUUCUCAAAAAAAAAAAAAACUCUGGACCCUGUGUCAAUUAGAGUGGCCAUCGUUCGGGGUGGGAUGGCCAAGUGUGGGAAGUUUUAACAUUCAGACUCCCUGACAGGUUUGGAAUCCGGUUACAGGAAAGGGAGGGCCCCGUCACCCUAAUCAGUUCCCUUACAUUGAUGUGUGGAUGGUCCUGGUGGAGGACCCCCCCACUUUCUUGCCUGUCCUAGAGCCGCCCAGUCAUCUAGGUUUAGUAAAAAUAAGGUCCGCCACCACUUCUUCCACUGGCAGAGUUCCCAAGAGAUGACAGAUGUGUUUGUUGCUAAGCCUCUUUUAAAAUGUAAAGUUUUCCAGGCUCCACAGGACGAGUAUGACUUCCAGCCUUGCCUGCCCCCAUAUCAGGCCCAGGAGGAAAAACCUAAAAAAGCCCCUGACUCCCCUUCUGAUUCUGUCCCCUCUAACCCCUCUGCCCCAACUGCACCAUCUGACCCCCUGUCUCCCCCCAUACCUGAUUGGGACAAGCUUAUGAGUCAGAAGGGACAACUAGUCAGGUAACAUCCAUAGUUCUUCCUUUAAAACAGGUCCAGUGAGGUGGUGGAUUUGUGUACGUUCCCUUUACUACCAGUGACCUUUGUAAUUGGAAAAAUCAAGUUCCCCUUUUUUCAGAAAAACCUCAGGCCCUGAUUCACCUCCUAGAAUCUGUUUUCCAUACUCAUCAGCCUACCUGGGAAGACUGCCAGCAGCUGCUCCACACCCUCUUCACUACGGAGGAGUGGGACCAGAUUUUUCGAGGCUGUUAAGGCGGCUCUGGGACAAAACCCAGACCUUGGUCCGGCACUCUGGCUUAUCUGCAGCGAGCAGAGGCCGAGGUGCCAACCCACCGACCAGACUGGGACCCCAACACUGAUGCAGUAUUCCAUCACGAGAGAGGCUAAAAAAAAAGAUUUGGACACACAUCAACGGACUCCUAGAUGCCGAAAUCUUAAAGCUGUGCCAAUCACCUUGGAAUACUCCACUCCUGCCUAUCCAAAAGCCUGGUACUUCUGACUACAGGCCUGUGCAAGACCUCUGAGAGGUAAACAAAAGAACUGAGACUGUACACCCCACUGUGCCCAAUCCCUGUACCCUGCUAAGCCUCCUGCCUCCACAAUGACAAGUCUACACUGUGCUGGACCUCAAAGAUGCCUUCUUCAGUCUGCUUCUGGCCGAGCCCUCCAGGUAAUCCAACAGGAGCUGCGGAAUCGAGUUCGGGAGUCCAGGCUGGCCCCUCAACCUGAUGUCACCUGCCAUAAAUUUCAGCCUAGAGAUCUGGUGCUGGUAAAGAGACAUUCAUCUAAGGCUCUGGAGCCACAUUGGGAGGGGCCUUUCCAGGUGAUUUUGACGACGCCAUCGGCCAUAAAGGUCACAGAAAAAACAGAGUGGAUGCAUCACUGCCACAUCAAAGUGGCUCCUGAGGACACCCUGGAGGACAAAUGGAGGGUCAUCAGUCAACCAGGCGACAAAAAGUUAAGACUGGGACGGGUUGAAAAUACACCCCCAUCUUGUUAAUAUUUUCUAAAACAUUGACAAUAUUACCCCAAAAACAAUUGGACCAUACUGGUAAUGUUUGGAUUCAGUUGGCACAAUCACUUAAUUUGUCUGAGUUCUGUUUAAAUGUAGAUUUAAAUUUACAGUAUGUAUUAGGGAGUUGUCUCAUCCCAGUGUGCACCCCCUGGGGUCUGAUACAACCUUAUACUCUGUUUAAAGACAUCCCCCCCCCAAAAUCUUAUGUAUAAAGAUAGUUACAAUUGGGGGACCCCCUCUUAUUCUAAAUCAAAAAAUGCUAUUAAGUUAUAUACACCUCAGAUGGUCAUGUUAAACAAUACACAAUGUGCUGUAUAUAAAAAUUGUACUACAAAAUGUCUAAGAUUAAAAAGGUUAAAAAAAAUGACCUGUUAUAAAAAACAAAAAAUCAUAUACAGUGAUGGUCAUGUGCCUUUACCAUCAGGAUGGUUUUAUACAUGUAAAAGAGUAACACUUAAUUAUAUCCCUGCCUACUUGUCUGAGACUCGAUGCUGCCUAUGUUGCUUGGCCAUAAUAUUGCCAGAUCAAACUGAUUCGAUAUUGCCAAAAAAAAUUAAACGUUGGUCACCCUAUACUGCACCAGAAUGUGAUGAUGAUGUAGGUCUCUUGGCAGAUGCUCGAGUGAUACCUAUGAUAAUAUCUGUGCUUGCUCAGCCCACCAUAAAAAUUCAUACAAAAAAGGCAGUAUGAAAAUUGACAUGCAAGGUGGUCAAAGGUCUAAACACUACCUCAUCUGCCUUGACAUUAAUUAAUCAGGAGUUACAAAAACACAGACGGGCUAUACUAGACAAUAGGACAACAAUAGAUUACUUGCUCUUGUUCCAUCAUCAAGGAUGCAAAAAAAUAAAUAAUAUGUGUUGUUUUAAUCUGACUGACAAUAGCCCAGGGAUUCAAAAAUAAAUAAAUAAAACAAUUUUAAAAAUUGAUGGAAAAAAUACAUAAUAAAAAAUUAGGAUGGGAUCUGUUUCAAUGGUUAACUCAAUGGUUGCCUAAUAUGCAAUGAUUAAAACAGCUUUUUCUUGUAGUCUUAAUUGUAAUCACAUGUUUGCUGUUAUCAUGUUGCUACAUACAAUGCCUACCUUACUGUAUGGAAUGCUCUCAGUGGUUCAUGGAUUAUUAAAUUUGACUAUUAUGUUGCUAAAUCAAAUGUAUAAACCCUUGCCUAAAAAAAUGACAGAGUUAAAUCAAAGGUUUGAUUCUGUACAAAAACCAGUGGGGAAUGUGAGACCAAAGUGAACCUAAGAAAUGAACUCCCCUCAUACCCCUCCCCUUAUAGAGUGCUGGAAUUCCCCAUGAGAUAGCCGCUUGCUCUGCUUCUGUAAACAUGCUGUAUCGCUCCCCGGGAACAGAUGGUGCCCGGUGCCUCCCUGUAACCACCGAACCCUGUAGCCACAGAAGGCCCUAUCUUGGUAAGAUGGGUGGGAUAAAAAAAGAACUGGGUUGUGAAAGAUAUUUCACAGCUGGCUGAAGGACAUAGUGGCCUCUCCCCGAACGUCUUUGUUUGCGUUACCUAUAAACCUGUACUGUCCCCUGCUUCGGGACUUCACUUCUCCUAGAGAGUGGAGUCCACGCACGUGAAUA